GGGUAUAGCUCAGUGGUAGAGUGCGUGCUUAACAUGCACGAACGAGGUCCUGGGUUCAAUCCCCAGUACCUCCA
rnacentral:tRNA from 1 species